AGAGUUUGAUCAUGGCUCAGAUUGAACGCUGGCGGCAGGCCUAACACAUGCAAGUCGAGCGGUAGCACAGAGAGCUUGCUCUCGGGUGACGAGCGGCGGACGGGUGAGUAAUGUCUGGGAAACUGCCUGAUGGAGGGGGAUAACUACUGGAAACGGUAGCUAAUACCGCAUAACGUCGCAAGACCAAAGUGGGGGACCUUCGGGCCUCAUGCCAUCAGAUGUGCCCAGAUGGGAUUAGCUAGUAGGUGGGGUAACGGCUCACCUAGGCGACGAUCCCUAGCUGGUCUGAGAGGAUGACCAGCCACACUGGAACUGAGACACGGUCCAGACUCCUACGGGAGGCAGCAGUGGGGAAUAUUGCACAAUGGGCGCAAGCCUGAUGCAGCCAUGCCGCGUGUGUGAAGAAGGCCUUCGGGUUGUAAAGCACUUUCAGCGGGGAGGAAGGCGUUAAGGUUAAUAACCUUGGCGAUUGACGUUACCCGCAGAAGAAGCACCGGCUAACUCCGUGCCAGCAGCCGCGGUAAUACGGAGGGUGCAAGCGUUAAUCGGAAUUACUGGGCGUAAAGCGCACGCAGGCGGUCUGUCAAGUCGGAUGUGAAAUCCCCGGGCUCAACCUGGGAACUGCAUUCGAAACUGGCAGGCUAGAGUCUUGUAGAGGGGGGUAGAAUUCCAGGUGUAGCGGUGAAAUGCGUAGAGAUCUGGAGGAAUACCGGUGGCGAAGGCGGCCCCCUGGACAAAGACUGACGCUCAGGUGCGAAAGCGUGGGGAGCAAACAGGAUUAGAUACCCUGGUAGUCCACGCCGUAAACGAUGUCGAUUUGGAGGUUGUGCCCUUGAGGCGUGGCUUCCGGAGCUAACGCGUUAAAUCGACCGCCUGGGGAGUACGGCCGCAAGGUUAAAACUCAAAUGAAUUGACGGGGGCCCGCACAAGCGGUGGAGCAUGUGGUUUAAUUCGAUGCAACGCGAAGAACCUUACCUGGUCUUGACAUCCACAGAACUUUCCAGAGAUGGAUUGGUGCCUUCGGGAACUGUGAGACAGGUGCUGCAUGGCUGUCGUCAGCUCGUGUUGUGAAAUGUUGGGUUAAGUCCCGCAACGAGCGCAACCCUUAUCCUUUGUUGCCAGCGGUNCGGCCGGGAACUCAAAGGAGACUGCCAGUGAUAAACUGGAGGAAGGUGGGGAUGACGUCAAGUCAUCAUGGCCCUUACGACCAGGGCUACACACGUGCUACAAUGGCAUAUACAAAGAGAAGCGACCUCGCGAGAGCAAGCGGACCUCAUAAAGUAUGUCGUAGUCCGGAUUGGAGUCUGCAACUCGACUCCAUGAAGUCGGAAUCGCUAGUAAUCGUAGAUCAGAAUGCUACGGUGAAUACGUUCCCGGGCCUUGUACACACCGCCCGUCACACCAUGGGAGUGGGUUGCAAAAGAAGUAGGUAGCUUAACCUUCGGGAGGGCGCUUACCACUUUGUGAUUCAUGACUGGGGUGAAGUCGUAACAAGGUAACCGUAGGGGAACCUGCGGUUGGAUCACCU
rnacentral:rRNA from 1 species